GUGCCAGCCGCCGCGGUAAUACCGGCAGCCCGAGUGAUGGCCGAUUUUAUUGGGCCUAAAGCGUUCGUAGCUGGCCCCACAAGUCCGUUGGGAAAUCCGCGCGCUUAACGCGCGGGCGUCCAGCGGAAACUGUUCAGCUUGGGAGCGGAUCACCUGAGGGGUACGUCUGGGGUAGGAGUGGAAUCCUGUUAUCCUCCACGGACCGCCGGUGGCGAAAGCGCCUCAGGAGAACGGAUCCGACAGUGAGGGACCUAAGCUAGGGUCUCGAACCGGAUUAGAAACCCCGGUAGUCC
rnacentral:rRNA from 1 species